GAUGCAGGUAACCAGGAUCAGCAUCCAGCGCAUCGUUGAUCCAGUUGAACUUCAGAGUUGUUGGUGAGCCUCAUUGCAUUCCGAAGGAUCCCCAUUUUUUCAUUACUUUAUCAUUUUAGUUCAUUAGGAUGUCGUGGGCCUGUCCCGACAUCCAUCUCAGUUGUUUUAGAGGAUUCAUAGAUAGUCAGUCAGAUGUUAGUUCAUUCGUCAUCAUUUUGUUAUUGGCUUAUGUUCAGAUUUGAGUUGCCAUUUUGGCUAAGUUAAAUGUUUAUUUUUAAAAUAUUAUGAGUUUAGUUUGAG
rnacentral:lncRNA from 1 species